ensembl:lncRNA
AACUGAGGAAGCAGAUCCUGUACUUCCCAGGACCUGACUGACGACUCAGGACAGACCGAGGGACAGAGGGAUGACAGUCAGGGGCAAUCUGGGACCAAGAUUUUCUGCAGUGGAAAUUACUGGCUAAAUAAACCUAUCUCCUCAUUGACACAAAGCUAAGAAGAGAGAUCAGUUACAACAAAAAAAAGGAAAGAAAUGUGAUUAUUUCCUAAGUCGAGAUAAGGAAACUGAGGCACAAAGGAGAUGAAAUAACUUGAACAAGAUUCAAAAUCUACUUCAGCUGAAACCUGAACCUUGAUCCAAGUUCAGACGCUGGAUGAUGAAGUUGAAGAAAUUAAACUCUUCUACACGUUUUCUUCCUUUUCCAGUUGGUUUUGGUCCCUAUAGCAUGGUGAUGUCCAGCUAAGCAUGCCCCUUCCAAAUGUAUUCAAUGAUAUUUGCUUGUGAGAACCUCAGUCACAAACACUACUCUCAUUGUCCCAGCAUAAUGCAAAGUCACUGUGGCUCUGGGCAGCAGAGGCUGUGAGUUCCUUUUCAGCUUCAUUAACUAACCUUGAGGAGGCUGGGAUGGGGGAAACGCUAAAACCCAGUUCUCCCAGCCAGCAGCCAGCCUGGCCAGCGGACAGAGGUGGAAUGUGACCAAGGUAUGUCUUGGUUGAUGGUUCACCCCUGGAUGAGGUAGUCCCUGAAAGUUGAUCUUUGGGGAUUUCAAAUCUGUUGAUGAAAACGGGAAUAAAGGAGGGACCUUGAUAAAAAUGUUGAGGUAUGCAGGCAGGAAAUGAUGGCAAAAUUCUCCCCACCCCUAUCAAAGAAAAUGGCUUUAGGAAGUUGAGUCUCUACCCCUGUUCCUGUCUCCCCCUUAUAAAUCUACCCCUAAAUCAUCUUCAGGGAAUUGGACCGGUUGCUUUCUCCCUGGCAAUAACAGGGAAUUCCAACUGCAAGCCAAUUAGAAUACACCCAGAGCUGCCAGUAAAAUCUUUCACUGACUUCACUUUAUUGGUUUCAUAAAACAAGAGAAAGAAAUCAGAGAUAGUCCAGAGCCUCACGGAGAUGCAAGUGUCUUUAUGAAGCAGACUGAAGCCUGCCUCCAUGGGCUCCCCAUUCCACAUCCUUCCUCCACCCAGAUGUUUUUAGCUGCUGCCACCUGCCCACGAUCCUGUGGUGUUAGGACACCAGCUCACAGAUCCGAGCUGUAUAGUCCUUACUUCCCUGGAUAUUUGAUCGA